rnacentral:rRNA from 1 species
AAAACGACUCUCGGCAACGGAUAUCUCGGCUCUCGCAUCGAUGAAGAACGUAGAAGAAAUGCGAUACUUGAGUGUGAAUUGCAGAAUCCCGUGAACUUAUCGAGUCUUUGGAACGCAAGUUGCUGCGCCCCAAGCCUUCUGGCCGAGGGCACGUCUGCCUGGGUGUCACAA